GGCUACGAGGACGAACGCUGGCGGCGUGCCUAACACAUGCAAGUCGAGCGAGGAGAUCCUUCGGGAUGAUCCUAGCGGCGGACGGGUGAGUAACACGUGGGCAACCUGCCUCAUAGAGAGGAAUAGCCUUCCGAAAGGGAGAUUAAUACCUCAUAACAUUGCAGUUUCGCAUGAAACAGCAAUUAAAGGAGCAAUCCGCUAUGAGAUGGGCCCGCGGCGCAUUAGCUAGUUGGUGAGGUAACGGCUCACCAAGGCGACGAUGCGUAGCCGACCUGAGAGGGUGAUCGGCCACAUUGGGACUGAGACACGGCCCAGACUCCUACGGGAGGCAGCAGUGGGGAAUAUUGCACAAUGGGGGAAACCCUGAUGCAAGCAACGCCGCGUGAGUGAUGACGGCCUUCGGGUUGUAAAGCUCUGUCUUCAGGGACGAUAAUGACGGUACCUGAGGAGGAAGCCACGGCUAACUACGUGCCAGCAGCGGC
rnacentral:rRNA from 1 species